GACGAACGCUGGCGGCGUGCUUAACACAUGCAAGUCGAGCGGUAAGGCCCUUUCGGGGGUACGACGAGCGGCGAACGGGUGAGUAACACGUGGGUGACCUGCCCUUAGCUCUGGGAUAAGCCUGGGAAACUGGGUCUAAUACCGGAUAUGACUCCAUGACGCAUGUUGUGGGGUGGAAAGCCUUGUGCGGCUAGGGAUGGGCCCGCGGCCUAUCAGCUUGUUGGUGGGGUGAUGGCCUACCAAGGCGACGACGGGUAGCUGGUCUGAGAGGAUGGCCAGCCACAUUGGGACUGAGAGACGGCCCAGACUCCUACGGGAGGCAGCAGUGGGGAAUCUUGCGCAAUGGCCGAAAGGCUGACGCAGCGACGCCGCGUGGGGAGGAAGGCC
rnacentral:rRNA from 1 species